UGGGCCCGCGCCCUGCAGUGGUCCUGUGCGGCUACGCAGCGCUGCGGGACGCACUGGUGCUGCAAGCGGAUGCCUUCUCCGGCCGCGGGGCCAUGGCAGUUUUCGAACGCUUCACACGCGGAAACGGCUUAGCUUUUUCUAAUGGGCCGCGCUGGCCGAUGCUGCGCAAUUUUGCACUUGGAGCACUUAAAGAGUUCGGCUUGGGUAUGCGGACCAUCGAAGAGCGUGUCCUGGAAGAGGCGGCUUGUCUGCUCGGUGAAAUUUCAAGCCCCUAGAGGAGCCCCGUUCGAACGCCGGCAGCUACUGGAUAAUGCUGUUUCUAAUGUUAUCUGCUCCAUGGUCUUUGGGAACCGCUAUGGCAAUGAGGACAUGGAGUUCCUGAGGCUCCUGGACCUUUUCAAUGCCAACUUUCGCAUCAUGAGCUCCAGGUGGGGUGAGAUGUACAUUUUCCCCUCCCUCCUGGACUGGCGCCCAGGCCCACACCACUGAAUCUUCGAAACUUCGCAGAGCUUCGGGUUUCCAUCCCUCAGCAAAUCCAGCUGCACCAGCAGACGCAGCAGCCUGGGAAGCCCCGCGAUUUCAUCGAUAGCUUCCCAGAUCAAAUAGAUAAGGAACAGAAGAACCUGGAGAGCCAUUUCGAGGCAGAGACGUUGGUGAUGAUGACACAGUCUCUUCUUUGGCGGUACAGAGACCACAAGCACCACCCUGAGCUAUGGACUCCUCAUUCUGCUCAAAUACCCAGAGGGCACCUUUGUGAUUCCUCUGCUUGUGUCUGCACACCGGGACCCCACCCAAUUCAAGGACCCAGAAUGCUUCAACCCCACCAACUUCCUGAAUGACCAGGGCGACUUGCAGAGCAACGCCUUCAUGCCCUUUGCCCUAGGUCUGGGCUGGGCAGGGAGGGGACCAGUCAGGACGUGCUCUGGCAUGCAUCGGUUUCUCACUCCACACCCGUGUCCCCAGGAAAGUGGACGUGCCUGGGUGCAGGCCUGGCCCCAACCUCCCCUCCAUUCUACUGUGGUUCUGCCUGCUCCCUGUGGGGAGCCGCUCCGACACAGACCUCGCCCCCCAGUGCCCUGGGCUGAGCAAUGUGCCCCCAGCCUUCCAGCUCCGCCUCGUGGCCUGCUGAAGUCAGAUUCAGCUCAGCUCACUGGCUCUCAGACUUCCUUACCCUCUUCGGUCCAUAAAGGCCUG